GAGUAAGAUGUCCUACAGUGCUGGAAUCCCGCAGGCUCUGUAGGCACUUAGGAACCUGAGUUUAAUGGGACUGACGCUCAGCCACUAAUAAAUUAUUUAUGUAUUUGUUUAAAUGCUGAUCUUCAAAUUUAGGAUCUUAAUUAAUGCUAUAUGUUGACUGUAUUACCCACGUUGAGCUGCUUUUCUAAAAAUUAACUGUAUUUUAUUAUCUACUUUCACUCUAGGCUAAACUCGACACAAUGAUACGAAAAAGGUGGAAAACUGACCCAAGCCAUGCCCCAGAAAAGGAGCCUGACAGUGACACUUGGUGCUGUGGUCUCCGCCCUCACGUAGAACCUGCAAAGCCUUCACUCCUUCUUUUUGGCCAUCCUCCAGGGCAACACGGAACCACGAGUUCCCCGACACACGGGAGCCUAAAACCCACACUCAGAGCUCUGCAGCUGAGCCACCUCUCCGCAGCAGCACCAGCACAUUUUGCCGAGGAAUGAAGAUGGGAAACUGCAGACAUUUCUCAGCUGUACUGCUGCAGUGUCAUCCCGCGUUGCAGUAUUGGUGGAGCAGUGUUGGGGAGGACCCUGGGACGGUUCCAGGGAGCAGAGGGGUGCAGGUGGCUGCUGGUGCCGCUGAGGGGUCUGCCCGCCUCCGUCCUCACUGCCUUCCCACCUGCAGUCGGCCUCGUCUCGCCAUGGAGCUCUUUUGGGAGGGAUUUCAUUCAGGCUAACACCACAGACAACUGAGUGACAGAGAUUCAACGAAGCAAGAAAUACAGCAACCCCCCAAUGGAGACCUGCAUGUGUGAGUGAUUCAUUGAUGCCAGCUACCAAACAACCCCGACACAUAACAUUUCCCACCUCUGAUAUUUAGAAAGCCCCUCUCACCCUUUUAGCACCAAUGGAGCCCUCGAAAUGUUUUAUUGCUAAUUGUCUAAUGCUCCGUGAUGAAUGGCUGCUUGACUGAAAAUGACAACCCCUUUUCUCUCAACUACUUCAUUUUCCUGGCUCCAGUGGGGGUGAAGAGGAAAAAAUAAAUCCGAUUACAUCAUAUUUAGCCUCUUGGUUAUGAAUGAAGGAAGAUUAAACUUAAUUUAAAAGUACUUCUGUCAACAAUGCCCUGAGCCCCCGCUCCCUUACGCUCAGUAAGUGCUGCCUCAGACGCGGGGGCAAAAUGUUCCAAAGGCAGCGCCUGGUCAGGGCAGCGGAUCACUGAGAUAUCGGGGGAAGCAGCCCGGCCAAAUCUAGAUGGCUGCAUUUGUGAUCACAAGGAAUAUUUUGGCUACUGAGUAAUCAAAGAGCACACUUGAACCCUACACAAAACAACUUCUGACUACAGCCCUGCCUCCAGAAUAAAGGCAACAGGGGAAGGCCCCUCCAACUGGGAAUCGCUGCACUAUUAGCCAUUCUUUGAGUCUGCUCUGGUUGGAAGAUCUGCAAGGAUGAAGGAGAUUUAAUAACUUGAAAAAGAAUAAACCGUGUGUCUUUCCCCAGCAUUUGUAUUUAUCACUCCUUUCCUGCUUCUUACACUUUUUCCCUUUAGGGAAUCUGAUCUCUUCAAAAAGAAGAUCAGCAUGAUCAGCCAGAGUCGUGUGCAUAACAUUAUCUUUGCAGCCGCCACAAAACGCCAUGAAAUCCAAAUGCACGGUGACAGGGUUGGCUGUGCAAAGCUCUACGUUGAACUGAGCCAUUUUCAAAGAAACUUGUACCUUCGGUGGCAAACAGAAAGCUUUCCAUUUUCUCUCCCAAAUGACGAGACAGACAUACGCAUGGGGUUAUCUGAUUAAUUCAGAAUCAGAAACAGACACAAAAGAGACAUAUUCCAAACCUGCCAAUGUUCAGUAUGAACCUCUGGGACAUGUUUAUUUGGCUUGGGAGUUACAAGUCUUUGCUUGUGAGGGCAAAGGGACCCAGGCGAGUCAAGUAAUGAAUCUAGGCUUCCCAGACACAGAUCUGACAUUUGCUCUCUCCCUCUGACUCAGGCUUUGACUGGGUUCAGGGAUUAAUUAGGCCAUGCAAACGAGUUAGGUUCUCUCUUCUGGCAACCUGGUCACGUAGGGAACCCCCACCCCUCCCCUUCCCCACGCUCUCCUUCCCCAUAAUGAAGCAUGACUGUAGUAAAACAAGUCUUUUGAUGGUGCCUCUUCUCAUCACUUUCAAGACAAACAAUGUCUCAGAAGCCCCCCAGCUGCUCUUAUUUUUCUUAUAUCUACAGUUACAUCUUGGGUGUGUUUACUCAUCCUCAUUAAAUAUGUGUCCCCCACCAUCCUUUUUAAUAUCCUUCCUUUAUUGCAGUUUACACAACACAUCAAUUACAGGAUAGAGUUAAAACUUUUAGAGCCAUUUUUGGGCAUAGUGCAACAUCCCACAGCACCACCAUCUCUAAAGGAGAACUGACACAGGCUGCAGUAGGAACACGAGACAAACACCUCUGCAGCAAAGAAAAUGGGGUCACAAAUCACUUGUGUGUUCAGCUCAGAGCAAAGCAUUUCUUACACACAGUCAACUUCCUUCAGAAAAUAUCAGUUAGGAGUUUGGCUUUUUUUCAUUCAAAAACAUUCACAAGUGACUACUACUUUCCUCGUUUUAGCACAGACACUUGUAAAGUCUACGAUGGGACCAUGCGAAGAAAGCACCCAUCCCAGGACUGACAAUCAGCUCGAUUUUCACACAUAUUCCUUGGUCUUAAGAUCAUUUUCUU
rnacentral:lncRNA from 1 species